rnacentral:rRNA from 1 species
GGGUUGUGAGGUUAAGCGACUAAGCGUACACGGUGGAUGCCCUGGCAGUCAGAGGCGAUGAAGGACGUGCUAAUCUGCGAUAAGCGCCGGUAAGGUGAUAUGAACCGUUAUAACCGGCGAUUUCCGAAUGGGGAAACCCAGUGUGACUCGUCACACUAUCAUUAACUGAAUCCAUAGGUUAAUGAGGCGAACCGGGGGAACUGAAACAUCUAAGUACCCCGAGGAAAAGAAAUCAACCGAGAUUCCCCCAGUAGCGGCGAGCGAACGGGGAGGAGCCCAGAGCCUGAAUCAGCAUGUGUGUUAGUGGAAGCGUCUGGAAAGGCGCGCGAUACAGGGUGACAGCCCCGUACACAAAAGCGCAUGUGUUGUGAGCUCGAUGAGUAGGGCGGGACACGUGGUAUCCUGUCUGAAUAUGGGGGGACCAUCCUCCAAGGCUAAAUACUCCUGACUGACCGAUAGUGAACCAGUACCGUGAGGGAAAGGCGAAAAGAACCCCGGCGAGGGGAGUGAAAAAGAACCUGAAACCGUGUACGUACAAGCAGUGGGAGCCCCACCACUAAGCCAGUGGUGAACUCCACAUACGCAUCCUUUGCUGAAGGUGCGGUUAACGGAGCGCAAGCGACGUUCAACCUCAAAAGAAGCAGAGGGGGCUUAGUGGUGGGGUGACUGCGUACCU